GACGAACGCUGGCGGCGUGCUUAACACAUGCAAGUCGAACGGUGAAAGUGGAGCUUGCUCCGCUGGAUCAGUGGCGAACGGGUGAGUAACACGUGGGCAACCUGCCCCUGACUUCGGGAUAACUCCUCGAAAGAGGUGCUAAUACCGGAUACGAAUCCUGCAGGCAUCUGCGGGAUUGGAAAGUUCUUCGGUCAGGGAUGGGCCCGCGGCCUAUCAGCUUGUUGGUGAGGUAGUGGCUCACCAAGGCGACGAAGGGUAGCCGGCCUGAGAGGGCGACCGGCGACACUGGGACUGAGACACGGGCCGGACUCCUACGGGAGGCAGCAGUGGGGAAUAUUGCGCAAUGGGCGGAAGCCGGACGCAGCAACGCCGCGUGAGGGAUGACGGCCUUCGGGUUGUAAACCUCUUUCAGCAGGGAAGAAGCGAAAGUGACGGUACCUGCAGAAGAAGCACCGGCUAACUACGUGCCAGCCGCCGCCGUAA
rnacentral:rRNA from 1 species